ACAUACGACCAUAGGGUGUUGAAAACAGGGCUUCCCGUCCGCUCAGCCGUACUUAAGCCACACGCCGGUGAGUUAGUAGUUGGGUGGGUGACCACCAGCGAAUCCUCACUGUUGUAUGUU
rnacentral:rRNA from 1 species